UUGUUUUUUUAAAAAAAAAAAAUCUAUUGGGCAAGAUAAAAUGAAAGUAAAUGGAAAGUGGGGAGAGGUGGUGCACCUUCCGUUGAUAAAGUGAAGGGACAAAUGAAUGUAACUUUAUUUUGAGGAGAGUUCCCUCGCUUCCUUUUAACCAAUUACUUUUGCUUUCGUCAUUAUUAUAUGAUAUGCCUUCUGUCUUCCACCACCGUUAACCUCUCACAACCUCUUGUUCCUUACUAAAUAACAACCAACUUCUCCCAGAAUUCUUCACUGAACUACUCCAUGGCGAACAAACCAUGUACCCAUGUGCGCGAGAGAGAGAGGGGUCUGCAAGCCUCUGCCAGAUCCAGAGUACGAGCUUUUCUGUCUGAGUAACAAUAGCAAGAAUAAGUCCCACGUCCAAUUUAAACACAUUACCAUCACUGCUGAUCUUGGCACUGGAAGAUUCAUGCUGACCUGGCAAAUUCUGACCCAAAAUCGAAAACAGUGCUCUUGACUGCUGUUUUAUUGUUGCUUCAUAUUGCUUAUGGGAUCUAUCUCCGAAGUUGAUCUUUUCUGCAGCGUCAGGGAUAUGGGCUCUCCUACAAUGAAAUAGAAAUGGAAUGAUAUUUAUCAAUGUUCUUUAUAGAAUGUUCAUUUCACUUAUUUGAAACCAAUAAGUGUAAUGCACACCUCAUCUUCUUAGUAGGUGCUGCAGCCUCUGAUGUUGACUCUCUGUUAUCACCCUGUUGGAAAAUAGUCCUUUUGUUAUUUGAA